GGAGAUUUAGCUCAGCGGUAGAGCGCUUGCCUAGCAAGCGCGAGGCCCUGGGUUCGGUCCCCAGCUCCA
rnacentral:tRNA from 1 species